CACGACCAUUAAACAUGUCAGAAAUAAAAGCUGGCUUGGAUCGAUCAAAACACUCCUGAGAAUGAUGUCAUGACAGGAAACAGGAAGUAGAUCAAGCGUUGAAAUCAAAUUAAGUGAUCAAACAUAAGCAUCAUGUGACUUUCAUCUCCUCUGACUCCAGCUGUGUGAAGAGGAGUGGCAGACGCACUGAAUUACCUGAUUUGGAUCCACAGGUGGGAGCGAUCUGGCCGCUCGGACAGGUGCACAUGUUGGGUCUGGAGCAGAAGCCGUCUCCGCAGGGGCUGCGACAAAUAGCUGAGAACAGCAAAAACAAUGACUGAUGACAUCUAUUGAUUGCUUGACCUUCACAGACAUCAAUAAACAUGCAGAAAAUCAAAGCCUGCAGAUUCAGGUCUGGUCCGCUCCAGGUCUUUCCAUGAGACCGUCUUGCAGUUCAUCGAGGCAUAUGCCAGCUGUCUUAUUCAGGAAAUAUCGGCUUAAUCGGAUUAAUGCCAUCAUUACACGAUGCACAUGUAACUGGAAUGCGUCCAAACUCUUGAUUAUUACCGGAAUGUUCUUGUUAAGUGCGGUCAGCGAGAGGUCAGGAGGUCCGAGAGACUCUGGGCCAGUGUGGCCGAGCUCCAUUAGCGCGCCUGACCUUCACAUGUAAACAACACCCCCCACCGCGCCGCGCCUGAGAGUCACACAACACCAGCACAGCCUUCCUGAGCGCCGCAAUCUAUUCAUUUACAGGACGAGAGCGAAAAACAAUCGUCCAGCGCCGAGCUCGCACAGCCCCGCCCUCCUCUGUAAACCGUGUUUCUGAUAGCUGGAGCAGAACACAACAAACGGGACGCUGAUGAGGACUUACGGACGAUGCACUGGUUCCCUCCGGUCAAGGUCUUCCAUCCGGGACAGCAGUACGCGUGAUGACGGGAUCCGCACACAUUCGGCCUGCGGGAAGAGUUCGGCAAAACUUAACCGGGGUCAAAUUCACAUUUAAACCUCACGUGUGAAACUCUCCAUACAUAACAUGCACUGUAAACAGAAAUGUAGUUGUAAAUAAAACCGAUUACUUGAAUAUGUUGUAUAUAUUGUCUUUCUACAGGUACUCCAAAAUGUCACAUCUAACUCAACCUGUCAUUAUCUAUCUAUUUAUCUAUCUUACAGAUUGAUUGCAUGGCUUUAAAACACUGAAACCUCACGC
rnacentral:lncRNA from 1 species